rnacentral:rRNA from 1 species
AGUUGAGCGGAGAUAUAUGGAGCUUGCUUUAUAUAACUUAGCAGCGAACGGGUGAGUAACACGUAGAUAAUCUAUCCUAUACUGGGGGAUAGCCCGAUGAAAGUUGGAUUAAUACCGCAUAUAGCUAUAUAGUUGCAUGAUUAUGUAGUGAAAGAUUUAUUGGUAUAGGAGGAGUCUGCGGCACAUUAGCUAGUAAGUGAGGUAAAGGCUUACCUAGGCGACGAUGUGUAGCCGGUCUGAGAGGAUGAACGGCCACAAUGGAACUGAGACACGGUCCAUACUCCUACGGGAGGCAGCAGUGGGGAAUAUUGCACAAUGGGGGAAACCCUGAUGCAGCAACGCCGCGUGAGUGAAGAAGGUUUUCGGAUUGUAAAGCUCUGUUAGCAGGGAAGAGGAAGGACGGUACCUGCAGAAGAAGCCACGGCUAACUACGUGCCAGCAGCCGCGGUAAUACGUAGGUGGCAAGCGUUGUUCGGAAUAACUGGGCGUAAAGGAUGCGUAGGCGGUUAAACAAGUUAUAUGUUAAAUAUAUAGGCUUAACCUGUAGAAAGCAUAUAAAACUGUUUAACUAGAGUGCAGGAGAGGUAAGUGGAAUUCCUAGUGUAGCGGUGAAAUGCGUAGAGAUUAGGAAGAACACCAGUGGCGAAGGCGACUUACUGGACUGUAACUGACGCUGAGGCAUGAGAGCAUGGGGAGCAAACAGGAUUAGAUACCCUGGUAGUCCAUGCUGUAAACGAUGGGUACUAGGUGUGGGUUGUGAAUAACAAUUCGUGC